UACGGAGGGUGCGAGCGUUAAUCGGAAUUACUGGGCGUAAAGGGUGCGUAGGUUGUGGAAUAAGUUAUCUGUAAAAGCCCGGGGCUCAACCUUGGAAGGCCAGAUAAAACUGUUUUACUGGAGUAUGGGAGAGGGUAGUGGAAUUUCCGGUGUAGCGGUGAAAUGCGUAGAGAUCGGAAGGAACACCAGUGGCGAAGGCGGCUACCUGGCCUGAUACUGACACUGAAGCACGAAAGCGUGGGGAGCAAACAGGAUUAGAUACCCUGGUAGUCCACGCUGUAAACGAUGUCAACUAGCUGUUGGUCAUAUGAAAGUGAUUAGUGGCGAAGCAAACGCGAUAAGUUGACCGCCUGGGGAGUACGGUCGCAAGAUUAAA
rnacentral:rRNA from 1 species